UACAGGGGGUGCAAACGUUGCUCGGAAUCAUUGGCGUAAGCAGCACGUAGGCGGUUCGUUAUGUCGGAUGUGAAAGCCCUUGGCUUAACCGAGGAAGUGCAUCCGAAACUGGCGAGCUAGAGUACUAAAGAGGAUCGCGGAAUUCCCGGUGUAGAGGUGAAAUUCGUAGAUAUCGGGAGGAACACCGGUGGCGAAGGCGGCGAUCUGGGUAGAUACUGACGCUGAGGUGCGAAAGCGUGGGGAGCAAACAGG
rnacentral:rRNA from 1 species